GAUGAAGAACGCAGCGAAAUGCGAUAAGUAGUGUGAAUUGCAGAAUUCAGUGAAUCAUCGAAUCUUUGAACGCACAUUGCGCCCCAUGGUAUUCCGUGGGGCAUGCCUGUUCGAGCGUCAUUUACCCCCUCAAGCUCCGCUUGGUGUUGGGCGUCUGUCCCGCUUCGCGCGCGGACUCGCCCCAAAGGUAUUGGCAGCGGUCGUGCCAGCUUCUCGCGCAGCACAUUGCGCUUCUCGAGGCACCGGUGGGCCCGCGUCCAUCAAGCUCACCCCCCCAGUUUGACUUCGGAUCAGGUAGGGAUACCCGCUGAACUUAAGCGUAUCAAUAAGCGGAGA
rnacentral:misc_RNA from 1 species